GAACGCUGGCGGCAUGGAUUAGGCAUGCAAGUCGAACGUACUCCCUUCGGGGAGAAAGUGGCGAAAGGGUGAGUAACACGUGAGCAACCUGCCUCCGGAUCCGGAAUAAUCCAGGGAAACUUUGGUCUAAAACCGGAUGAAGACAUUGGUCCGCAUGGUCUAAUGUUAAAAUAUUUAUAGUCCGGAGAGGGGCUCGCGGCCCAUUAGCUUGUUGGCGGGGUAAUGGCCCACCAAGGCUACGACGGGUAGGUGGUCUGAGAGGAUGGUCACCCACACUGGGACUGAGACACUGCCCAGACUCCUACGGGAGGCUGCAGUCGAGAAUCUUCCGCAAUGGGCGCCAAGCCUGACGGAGCGAUGCCGCGUGAGGGAUGGAGGCCUUCGGGUUGUAAACCUCUGUCAUCCGGGACGAAAACAAUGACGGUACCGGAAAAGGAAGCCACGGCUAACCACGUGCCAGCCGCCGC
rnacentral:rRNA from 1 species